rnacentral:rRNA from 1 species
UACGUAGGGGGCAAGCGUUGUCCGGAAUCAUUGGGCGUAAAGAGCGUGUAGGCGGCUCGGUAAGUCCGCUGUGAAAGUCCAGGGCUCAACCCUGGAAUGCCGGUGGAAACUGUCGAGCUUGAGUCCGGAAGAGGCGAGUGGAAUUCCCGGUGUAGCGGUGAAAUGCGCAGAUAUCAGGAGGAACACCAAUGGCGAAGGCAGCUCGCUGGGACGGUACUGACGCUGAGACGCGAAAGCGUGGGGAGCAAACAGG